CAAUAGCGUAUAUUAAAGCUGUUGCGGUUAAAAAGCUCGUAGUUGGAUUUCUGUCAAGUACAACUGGUCCGCCCUCCGGGUGAGCACAUAGUUUGGUCUUGGCAUCUUGCUGGAAAUUGUUGCUGCACUUGGCUGUGUGGCGCAGUGUCCAGCACUUUCACUUUGAGGAAAUUGGAGUGUUUCAAGCAGGCAAUGCCUUUGAACACAGUAGUAUGGAAUAAUUAGAUUGGGCUUUUGCUCCAAUUUGUCGGUUUCUGGAGCUGAGGUGAGAAUUAAUGGGGAUUGUUGGGGGCAUCCGAAUUUAGCCGUCAGAGGUGAAAUUCUUGGAUCGGCUAAAGACGGACAACUGCGAAAGCGUUUGCCCAGGAUGUUUUCAUUGA
rnacentral:rRNA from 1 species